GACGAACGCUGGCGGCGUGCUUAACACAUGCAAGUCGAACGGAAAGGCCCCUUUGGGGGUACUCGAGUGGCGAACGGGUGAGUAACACGUGAGUAACCUGCCCUUGACUUCGGGAUAACUUCAGGAAACUGGGGCUAAUACCGGAUAGGAAUCCUUGCCGCAUGGUGGGGGUUGGAAAGCUUCGGCGGUUUUGGAUGGACUCGCGGCUUAUCAGCUUGUUGGUGGGGUAGUGGCUUACCAAGGCUUUGACGGGUAGCCGGCCUGAGAGGGCGACCGGCCACAGUGGGACUGGGAUACGGCCCAGACGCCUACGGGGGGCAGCAGUGGGGAAUAUUGCACAAUGGGCGGAAGCCUGAUGCAGCAACGCCGCGUGCGGGAUGACGGGCUUCGGGUUGGAAACCGCUUUCAGCAGGGGCGAAGCUUGUGGUGACGGUACCUGCAGAAGAAGCACCGGCUAACUACGUG
rnacentral:rRNA from 1 species